AACGCGAAGAACCUUACCCGGACUUGACAUGCAGAGGAAUGUUCUAGAGAUAGAUCAGCCCUUCGGGGCCUCUGCACAGGUGCUGCAUGGCUGUCGUCAGCUCGUGCCGUGAGGUGUUGGGUUAAGUCCCGCAACGAGCGCAACCCUUAUCAUUAGUUGCCAGCAUUUAAGGUGGGAACUCUAAUGAGACUGCCUGGGUGAACCAGGAGGAAGGUGAGGAUGACGUCAAGUCCGCAUGGCCCUUAUGUCCGGGGCUACACACGUGCUACAAUGGUCGGUACAGAAGGCAGCGAAGCCGCGAGGUGAAGCAAAUCCGAUAAAGCCGAUCCCAGUUCAGAUUGCAGUCUGCAACUCGACUGCAUGAAGAUGGAAUUGCUAGUAAUGGCGUGUCAGCAACAGCGCCGUGAAUACGUUCCCGGGCUUGUACACACCGACAUA
rnacentral:rRNA from 1 species